UCCCUGGUGGCUCAGACGGUACAGCGUCCACCUACAAUGUGGGAAAUCCAGGUUCAAUCCCUGGGUCGGGAG
rnacentral:tRNA from 1 species